UAGGAGCUGAUUUGUGCUUGGCAACUAGUGUCUGGAAAAUACAUCUGGGAUUGUACGCUCAAUUGACACUCAUCCUUCGCGAAAGCAUGCCUGUGUGGUAAGAUGCCUUCUGCACUUCUCUUAGUUCCUUGCAGUAACUUCAUAUACCUUCUACCCUCUAGUUUUGCAAGAUUAAAUGGUGUGCUUUCAGGCAAUGCAUCAGGCUUAUGAUGCCAUCGUGCAGAAAAAGUGCAUUGGGGCAUAAAUACCGACGAAAAUGUCGAGGAGGAUCAUGUCACUCAGGCACUCAAUAGGAUAUAAUCCAGGAUAAUAAGAUAUGUGGUGCUGAACACAAUCAUUCA